GAUAGUGAGUUCUGGACGUGUCUAAUAGAUGGCGUGAAAGAAUAUUGUGUUGAUAUGUGCUUAUGGCGGCUCGUUGUGAACAGUUCAGCUACAGCUAUUUUCUUCGACAAUUACAAAGGAAUUCGUUUGGGAAUUUGUGUAAGGGGCAUGCAGCCUAGUGUCAACUAUUGUGUUAUAAAUCCUAGUAUCCUACUGAAUAUGUCAUCCAAAUGACAGAGAUCACCAACCCUAGAAUGGACCAUUCUCUCAUUCCAUCUUCUAGAGAACCUUGAAUAACUGAUUGGUGGUUUUGUGUGUCUCUAAUCUUGCACGCUAGCCUUUAUGAGAAGUCAUGUCCUUUGAAGGAAAGGGACAAUGACUUAACAGUCAACAAGGUCCUUUGUUUGGUAACCCGUUGGCUGCUACCCUUGAACAUCCCUUUUUACUUCCUUAAACAGGCCCUCUUGAUUUGAGGGUAACUCCUUUGCUACAUAUCAUGGACUUCAUCCAUUGGUGAAAACUGAAAAGAGAAAGCUGUAAUUCAGAUGUCUAAGCCGGAAGUCUGCUAUGGUUAAUCGCUCUCGUAUUAGUUCGUUCCUCAACUCUUCGCUCUUUUUCCGGUUUCUCUUAACCAUUUGCCAGGUAGUCAAUUAAGACAGUGAUGUCACCCCCUGUCUUGAUUGUGUGCGAGUUUCAAAAGCAGUUUAUCACCCAAAUGAGACAAAAGGAGUUGGUUAGGUUUGUUUUAUUUGGGUAUAAACUGCUUUAAAAUUUGCGCAGAACAAAAUUUGUAUUGUACCGGACGCUUUGUUUAUUAAAUAUCAAUCAUUUUGG
rnacentral:lncRNA from 1 species